rnacentral:rRNA from 1 species
UACGUAGGGUGCAAGCGUUAAUCGGAAUUACUGGGCGUAAAGCGUGCGCAGGCGGUUUUGUAAGUCUGUCGUGAAAUCCCCGGGCUCAACCUGGGAAUUGCAUUGGAGACUGCAAGGCUAGAAUCUGGCAGAGGGGGGUAGAAUUCCACGUGUAGCAGUGAAAUGCGUAGAGAUGUGGAGGAACACCGAUGGCGAAGGCAGCCCCCUGGGUCAAGAUUGACGCUCAUGCACGAAAGCGUGGGGAGCAAACAGG